CAUGAGGAAAUCAAGGGAAAUAGGUUUAUUUCUAAGGAAAGUCCUCAGGACGGAAGGAUCUCAGGUCGGUAGGUCCUCAAGACGGAAAGACCUCAGGUCGGAAGGUUUUCAGGUCGGAAGGUCCUCAAGACGGAAAGACCUCAAGUCGGAAGGUUUUCAGGUCGGGAGGUCCUCAAAGCGGAAAGACCUCAAGUCGGAAGGUUUUCAGGUCGGAAGGUCCUCAAGACGGAAAGACCUCAAGUCGGAAGGUUUUCAGGUCGGGAGGUCCUCAAAGCGGAAAGACCUCAAGUCGGAAGGUUUUCAGGUCGGAAGGUCCUCAAGACGGAAAGACCUCAAGUCGGAAGGUUUUCAGGUCGGGAG